rnacentral:rRNA from 1 species
GACAGAGGUGCCGAGCGUUGCUCGGAAUCACUGGGCGUAAAGCGCACGUAGGCGGAUUGCUAAGUCAGGGGUGAAAUCCUGGAGCUCAACUCCAGAACUGCCUUUGAUACUGGCGAUCUCGAGUCCGGGAGAGGUGAGUGGAACUGCGAGUGUAGAGGUGAAAUUCGUAGAUAUUCGCAAGAACACCAGUGGCGAAGGCGGCUCACUGGCCCGGUACUGACGCUGAGGUGCGAAAGCGUGGGGAGCAAACAGG